UUCUCCUCAUCCUCUUCGACUCGGUUUCAGAGAAAAGAGAGGAGGGCUCCAUACCAGCCAUCGUUCCUCUCCCUUUGUUCCAAUUCCUCUGGCAUGGGUUGUGUGACUGCUAUGAUCUGCCAUGCAGGAAGCUUAGGUUAGGAGUUUUCAUUCUUCUCCCAUGGUGAUCGCCGGCAUCGACUGGCAUCUCUGUCUGUGGGUUGAAUUUGUUCAAAUCUUUUUCUUCCUUUAGCUUCGUUUCUCUUAGUCCGCCGCUGGUGACUGGAGGAAAACGUCAAAAUCCUCCUCCUUCAACGGUGCUGUUGUGUUCGUGCGUUUGGAUUCUUCCUCCCCUAUUUUCACAGUGAACUUCUCCUCUCCUUCCUUUGAUCGAGCUACUGUGAAGUAUCAGGUGGUAUGUGACUUGUGCAUCAAUUAGGCAAUUGAAGUCAAUACUCCUUGAGCCACUAUUUCUCCCUCUGUUCACCAUCAAAUCCACUCAAGUCUUCCACCACUCUUCUCCUCUCUUAAGGCCAAACCAACCUCAAGCAACUAGAAGGAGAUUUGAAGCUCAAUCCAUCAAGAAGUAUAAAGCAUGUGCCACAAUCUAGUUGUGUUCUUGGAGGAAGCAAAGUGCUCUUAAUGUUUUCUAGCUAGAGUCUCCAUGGAAUCCUAGCGGAGAGUUGAUAGAAGAGGAAUUUUCAAGUCUUCACUUGGCUAAGCUUAACUAUUUCUUGUUUCAAUUCCAUUAGAAUACUAUGACUAUUAUUGAUUGUGAUUUAAUUUGACUUUGGUUACAUAGUCAUUUGUAAUUUGUAAUGUUGAAACAAGAUUGUUGAGUUGAAUUUCAUGACCUAUG